rnacentral:miRNA from 1 species
CUUGAACUCACCUUGUAGCCCAGGCUGGCCUCAAACUCAUAGUGAUCUUCCUGCCUCAGCCUCCUGAGUGCUGGGAU